AAGAAUUAACAAACUAGCCAUGC
rnacentral:siRNA from 1 species